rfam:Triticum aestivum genome assembly, contig: Triticum_aestivum_CS42_TGACv1_scaffold_272489_3DS
GUAAUACUCCCUCCGUCCAAAAAAACUUGUCAUCAAAAUGGACAAAAAGGAGUGUAUCUAGAACUAAAAUACAUCUAGAUACAUCCCCUUUUAUUCAUUUUGAUGGCAAGUAUUUCCGAACGGAGGGAGUAAUAA